AGCGUCGGCGGAUUUUUAAGUGGGAUGUGAAAUACCCGGGCUUAACCUGGGUGCUGCAUUCCAAACUGGAAGUCUAGAGUGCAGGAGAGGAAAGUGGAAUUCCUAGUGUAGCGGUGAAAUGCGUAGAGAUUAGGAAGAACACCAGUGGCGAAGGCGACUUUCUGGACUGUAACUGACGCUGAGGCUCGAAAGCGUGGGGAGCGAACA
rnacentral:rRNA from 1 species